ACUACACACAGACGGAGUCAUGAACUAAAUAAAAAAGGACAAAAAUUACAGUCACACACCAGUGCACACGGCUUCACAAACACCACACACACAAAGUCACAAUUCACAAACCCUCAAGUCCUUCACAAAGAACAAAGCCAAGUCUGCCGACAUUAACACUUAGCACACACACAAACCAGCACUCAAGCACAAGCAGCCAGCCCACUGCCGAC
rnacentral:lncRNA from 1 species